rnacentral:rRNA from 1 species
GAUAAACGCUGGCGGCGUGCUUAACACAUGCAAGUCGAACGAAGUUUUUCCUUCGGGAGAAACUUAGUGGCGGACGGGGGAGUAACGCGUGGGUAACCUGCCCUGUACAGGGGGACAACAGCUGGAAACGGCUGCUAAUACCGCAUAAGCACUUAGCACUGCAUGGUGCAUAGGGAAAAGGAGCAAUCCGGUACAGGAUGGACCCGCGUCUGAUUAGCCAGUUGGCAGGGUAACGGCCUACCAAAGCGACGAUCAGUAGCCGAUCUGAGAGGAUGUACGGCCACAUUGGGACUGAGACACGGCCCAGACUCCUACGGGAGGCAGCAGUGGGGAAUAUUGCACAAUGGAGGAAACUCUGAUGCAGCGACGCCGCGUGAGUGAAGAAGUAUUUCGGUAUGUAAAGCUCUAUCAGCAGGGAAGAAAAUGACGGUACCUGACUAAGAAGCACCGGCUAAAUACGUG